rnacentral:rRNA from 1 species
GACAGAGGAUGCAAGCGUUAUCCGGAAUGAUUGGGCGUAAAGCGUCUGUAGGUGGCUUUUUAAGUCCGCCGUCAAAUCCCAGGGCUCAACCCUGGACAGGCGGUGGAAACUACCAAGCUGGAGUUACGGUAGGGGCAGAGGGAAUUCCGGUGGAGCGGCGAAAGUGACGUAGAGAUCGGAAAGAACACCAACGGCGAAAGCACUCUGCUGGGCCGACACUGACACUGAGAGACGAAAGCUAGGGGAGCGAAUGGG